UCAUGAGAUUAAUUGCUGAAGAAAAAAAAAAUUAGGUUUUAUUUGUUGCAGCUUUUUAUUUUCCUUUUCUGUGUUUCAUAGGUCAUCGCAGUCAUAGAAGCUUGGUACAUGUAGCUGUAAUAUCCUUUUUCUUAUAUAGCGCAGAAAUUUGAAGGGACUAAUUGCCCAUUCGGCCUAGUUUUAGCAACAUUUGUCGUAUGAAAGAUAGUCGACCAAUUUUUGAUCAUUGAUUUUUUCCCCCA
rnacentral:misc_RNA from 1 species